rnacentral:rRNA from 1 species
UACGGAGGAUCCAAGCGUUAUCCGGAUUUAUUGGGUUUAAAGGGUGCGUAGGCGGUUCUUUAAGUCAGAGGUGAAAGACGGCAGAUUAACUGUCGCAGUGCCUUUGAUACUGAAGAACUUGAAUGCGGUUGAGGAAUGCAGAAUGAGACAAGUAGCGGUGAAAUGCAUAGAUAUGUCUCAGAACCCCGAUUGCGAAGGCAGCAUUCCAAGCCGUUAUUGACGCUGAUGCACGAAAGCGUGGGGAUCGAAC